GAUGAACGCUGGGGGCGUGCCUAAUACAUGCAAGUCGAGCGAACAGACGAGGAGCUUGCUCCUCUGACGUUAGCGGCGGACGGGUGAGUAACACGUGGAUAACCUACCUAUAAGACUGGGAUAACUUCGGGAAACCGGAGCUAAUACCGGAUAAUAUAUUGAACCGCAUGGUUCAAUAGUGAAAGACGGUUUUGCUGUCACUUAUAGAUGGAUCCGCGCCGCAUUAGCUAGUUGGUAAGGUAACGGCUUACCAAGGCAACGAUGCGUAGCCGACCUGAGAGGGUGAUCGGCCACACUGGAACUGAGACACGGUCCAGACUCCUACGGGAGGCAGCAGUAGGGAAUCUUCCGCAAUGGGCGAAAGCUUGACGGAGCAACGCCGCGUGAGUGAUGAAGGUCUUCGGAUCGUAAAACUCUGUUAUUAGGGAAGAACAAAUGUGUAAGUAACUAUGCACGUCUUGACGGUACCUAAUCAGAAAGCCACGGCUAACUACGUG
rnacentral:rRNA from 1 species